UACAGAGGUCUCGAGCGUUGUUCGGAUUCAUUGGGCGUAAAGGGUGCGUAGGUGGCUAGGUAAGUCGGAUGUGAAAUCUCGGGGCUCAACCCCGAAACUGCAUUCGAUACUGCCUGGCUAGAGUACUGGAGAGGAGAUUGGAAUUUACGGUGUAGCAGUGAAAUGCGUAGAUAUCGUAAGGAAGACCAGUGGCGAAGGCGGAUCUCUGGGCCUUACCUGACGCUCAGGCACGAAAGCUAGGGGAGCGAACAGG
rnacentral:rRNA from 1 species